rnacentral:rRNA from 1 species
GUGGGGAAUAUUGGACAAUGGGCGCAAGCCUGAUCCAGCCAUGCCGCGUGAGUGAUGAAGGCCCUAGGGUUGUAAAGCUCUUUCACCGGAGAAGAUAAUGACGGUAUCCGGAGAAGAAGCCCCGGCUAACUUCGUGCCAGCAGCCGCGGUAAUACGAAGGGGGCUAGCGUUGUUCGGAAUUACUGGGCGUAAAGCGCACGUAGGCGGACAUUUAAGUCAGGGGUGAAAUCCCGGGGCUCAACCCCGGAACUGCCUUUGAUACUGGGUGUCUGGAGUAUGGAAGAGGUAAGUGGAAUUCCGAGUGUAGAGGUGAAAUUCGUAGAUAUUCGGAGGAACACCAGUGGCGAAGGCUGCUUACUGGUCCAUUACUGACGCUGAGGUGCGAAAGCGUGGGGAGCAAACAGGAUUAGAAACCCCGGUAGUCC